GUUUUCUGGUGUGGAAUCAACACACUGAAGCUUUGACUGAUCAACAGGUGACUUUAGGAGAGACUGUGACUUUAGCCUGUGAGUUUAGAUUAAAAGCUGUAGUUUGGUUUGUGAUAAAACCGUCAGCUCGUCCGAUGAUGAUCAUGAGGACUUUUGGAACCCAAGAGGCUGAUUAUUAUGAUGGAAAACUGCGCAGCAAAUAUUCAGAGGGAAGCAGAAGCCACUUAAUAAUCAAUAAUGUCAGUGCUGAUGAUUUGGGCGAAUAUUACUGUAUUAAACCAGGUUUUGCUUUGAACAUCAGUGAUGGUAUCAGACUGCACACCUCUAACUGAAGAGGACUAUCUUCUGUAAAUCCUUGAAGUCCGACAUGAUGUUUUGAGAAAAUAACACUCAUCCAGACCAACGGCUGUGAUGUUCCUCCUCAAAAGGAGAUAUAUGAGUUGGCGACAAGUUGAGAGAUUGAUUAUGGUUGCUUUAAAUGAUCAGAAUUAUGUGUUGCUUGAAUGUUUAAAGAAAAAAUGAGUCUCUAGACUUGAAAUCUAGACUAAAACACAGUGUAUUUGUAAUAAAAAUGACUAAUAUCUGUCUGCUCGGCACUUGAAGUGUUCAUCAAGAUUUAUAAUAAACAUUUGCUUGCAUUC
rnacentral:lncRNA from 1 species